CCACACACGAUCCAAGAUCGACACUAAAUUGUGAACUGUUUUGUGAUUUUACUAGUGGAAUUAGAGAUGAAAGUCUCUUUGUACAUUAGUAACCAAACCUUUUACACCCCUUAACAAAGAUCUAUACAAUGGAAAUUUGUUACAUAGGACAUUACGUUCUAUGGUAAAAACUUAAAUAUCUGAA
rnacentral:misc_RNA from 1 species